GCCAGCUGUCACUCAUCUGUCGGUUUUAACAGACUCUGGCCCCACAUUAGCAGUGUAACAGCAAUAUCCUCACUAUCCAGUGACUAACUAUUUUUUUCUUUAUCACAAGUUAUCCAACUUAUAAACCGACCAAUCAGAAGCCUCGGUCAAAGCAUGUGGUCCCUGCUGGCCCCGCCUUGAAUGAUUGACAGAUUCUCCUGAGCUGCUUUCAGUGCCGUCUCCUUCCAGCAAGCUCACUCCUGAUUGGUGACAGUAGUUGCCAUAGAAACGUGACCGACUCUGACCGAUCACUGUCGUCUGGUUCCAUGUGGCGGAGACCGUAUCACGGAAAUAUGGCGACUGAAUUCCCUUCAUCUCACUGGAGCCGGAGACAGCUGUAAUAUCAAGAUUUCAGAGCUCCAGACCUAAGCCACGUGGAUCUGGUUUGAAGAGUGAAAAACUACAAGAACCAAACACUCACAGGACUGGGCCUCUCAAGCUGGAGUCUCACCUGGAUCUUGUUGUCCAGGGUUCUGCCAGCUGGUCUGGUAGGUGUUCCCCCAAACUCCAGUCAGGAAGGUCUGACCGCUGCCACAGCUGCAGACAAACAGUCAUCCAUUCAACAAUCACCACAGGGUUCAAAACCCACAGCAGGACUCCGCUUCAUCAGUCCAAGCUGAACCUGACUUCAUCUAUGAUUCAGGUAGAGCUGUGGUUCAGCGUCUUACUUCUGAUGUGCGGUGGGGCCCUGGGUGAAAGCGCUGAAGCCAAAACCUCCGUUACUCACGAUUCCUGAGCCCUGCAGGAGGCCAGACACACACGGCUCAAUCACACCUUCCAGUCUACACUCUCACGACGUGAGCUGUUCCAGAGCGAGGGUCAUACCCCGAUCUUGUCAUCGAUGAGCUGACGGGCCACUUCCAUCUGCUGGGCGGUGCCUCUGAUGGUGAAGACCCGCGUGUUGGGGUCGGUGGAGGGAGGUGGGUUCCUCUGCAGCUCCACGUGAGCUCCAGACUGCUGGUUUAUGCUCUUUAUGGUUUCUCCACCUGCAGACCAGCAACAUGAGGACAGUUUGAGCUGAAAAACAACUCAAAAACACAGGAAGUGUCAAGAUAACAGGAGGACAACAUUUGGAGAAAAAAGAAAAAA